CCUACGGGAGGCAGCAGUGGGGAAUUUUGGACAAUGGGCGCAAGCCUGAUCCAGCCAUGCCGCGUGUGGGAAGAAGGCCUUCGGGUUGUAAACCACUUUUGUCAGGGAAGAAACGGCUCUUACUAAUAUUAGGGGCUAAUGACGGUACCUGAAGAAUAAGCACCGGCUAACUACGUGCCAGCAGCCGCGGUAAUACGUAGGGUGCAAGCGUUAAUCGGAAUUACUGGGCGUAAAGCGUGCGCAGGCGGCUUUGCAAGACAGAUGUGAAAUCCCCGGGCUCAACCUGGGAACUGCACUUGUGACUGCAUGGCUAGAGUACGGUAGAGGGGGAUGGAAUUCCGCGUGUAGCAGUGAAAUGCGUAGAUAUGCGGAGGAACACCGAUGGCGAAGGCAAUCCCCUGGACCUGUACUGACGCUCAUGCACGAAAGCGUGGGGAGCAAACAGGAUUAGAUACCCUGGUAGUCCACGCCCUAAACGAUGUCAACUGGUUGUUGGACGGCUUGCUGUUCAGUAACGAAGCUAACGCGUGAAGUUGACCGCCUGGGGAGUACGGCCGCAAGGUUGAAACUCGAAAGGAUUGACGG
rnacentral:rRNA from 1 species